UGGGGAAUUUUGCACAAUGGGGGAAACCCUGAUGCAGCGACGCCGCGUGAUUUAGAAGGCCUUCGGGUUGUAAAAAUCUUUUGUAUGGGAAGAAAAUGACAGUACCAUACGAAUAAGGACCGGCUAAUAACGUGCCAGCAGCCGCGGUAAUACGUAAGGUCCGAGCGUUGUCCGGAAUCAUUGGGCGUAAAGGGUACGUAGGCGGAUAAGCAAGUUAGAAGUGAAAUCCUAUAGCUCAACUAUAGUAAGCUUUUAAAACUGCUCAUCUUGAGGUAUGGAAGGGAAAGUGGAAUUCCUAGUGUAGCGGUGAAAUGCGCAGAUAUUAGGAGGAAUACCGGUGGCGAAGGCGACUUUCUGGCCAUAUACUGACGCUGAGGUACGAAAGCGUGGGUAGCAAACAGG
rnacentral:rRNA from 1 species